CAGCCGCCGCGGGAAUACGAAGGGUGCAAGCGUUAAUCGGAAUUACUGGGCGUAAAGCGUGCGCAGGCGGUUGUGUAAGACAGGUGUGAAAUCCCCGGGCUUAACCUGGGAACUGCGCUUGUGACUGCACAGCUAGAGUAUGGCAGAGGGGGGUGGAAUUCCACGUGUAGCAGUGAAAUGCGUAGAGAUGUGGAGGAACACCGAUGGCGAAGGCAGCCCCCUGGGCCAAUACUGACGCUCAUGCACGAAAGCGUUGGGAGCAAACAGGAUUAGAUACCCCAGUAGUCCCUGUCUCUUAUAC
rnacentral:rRNA from 1 species